AGCCUGAACGCUGGCGGCGUGGUUAAGACAUGCAAGUCGCACGGAGCCGUAGCAAUACGGUUCAGUGGCGCACGGGUGAGUAAUGAAUCGCUAACGCGCCCCGGACUCUGGGAUAGCCGCCCGAAAGGACGGGUAAUACCAGAUGAGACCCCGAUCCCGCAUGGGAUUGUGCUCAAAGGUCCGCCGGUCUGGGAGCGGGGCGAGUUCGUAAGCGACGACUAAGGUUGGUAGGGUAACGGCCUACCAAGGCGACGACGCGUAGCCGGACUGAGAGGUCGGUCGGCACAUCGGGACUGAGACACUGCCCGGACUCCACGGGGGGCUGGCAGUAACGAAUCUUCGCAA
rnacentral:rRNA from 1 species